rnacentral:rRNA from 1 species
UGAACGCUGGCGGCGUGCCUAAUACAUGCAAGUCGAGCGAACAGACGAGGAGCUUGCUCCUCUGACGUUAGCGGCGGACGGGUGAGUAACACGUGGAUAACCUACCUAUAAGACUGGGAUAACUUCGGGAAACCGGAGCUAAUACCGGAUAAUAUAUUGAACCGCAUGGUUCAAUAGUGAAAGACGGUUUUGCUGUCACUUAUAGAUGGAUCCGCGCCGCAUUAGCUAGUUGGUAAGGUAACGGCUUACCAAGGCAACGAUGCGUAGCCGACCUGAGAGGGGGAUACGCCCACCGUGAACUGAGACACCGUCCAGACUCCUAAGGGAGGCAGCCGUAGGGAAUCCUCCGCAAUGGGCGGAAGCUUGACGGAGCAACGCCGCGUGAGUGGUGAAGGUCUUCCGAUCGUAAAACUCUGUUAUUAGGGAAGAACAAAUGUGUAAGUAACUAUGCACGUCUUGACGGUACCUAAUCAGAAAGCCACGGCUAACUACGUG